rnacentral:rRNA from 1 species
GACAGAGGGGGCAAGCGUUGCUCGGAAUUACUGGGCGUAAAGGGCUCGUAGGCGCCAACUAAGUCAGACGUGAAAUCCCCUCGGCUUAACCGGGGAACUGCAUCUGAUACUGGAUGGCUUGAGUUCGGGAGAGGGAUGCGGAAUUCCAGGUGUAGCGGUGAAAUGCGUAGAUAUCGGGAGGAACACCGAUGGCGAAGGCAGCCCCCCUGGGUCAAGAUUGACGCUCAUGCACGAAAGCGUGGGAGCAAA